rnacentral:lncRNA from 1 species
CCUUUGUCAUCAUCUAUCGGUUAGAAGCAAGUCACAGGUCUUGCCCACACUCAGUGAGAGGGAUUACAUGAAUGUGUGACCACCAGGAGAUGGUAACAAUUGGGGUCAUGAGGGGAUAUGACUGCUACAAUCUCCCAUCAUCAAAAACAAAAACAGGAAUCUGGCUGCUCCUCCUUGCUGUCUUUUGCUCAUGAAGCUGCCUAAAGGGUGACUCAGCACUAUGCAACUUCCAGGUACCAACUAUGAGAUGCCAAAGUCCAUCCAAAGGAUGGACCCAAGGCUACUGGAUCUUAAGGUUUCAGACAAGUGUGUGAGACUUUGUACAUGAAGUUGGAGAAUGCCUCACUCUCUACCCUGUACAGGGUUGUGAUCCAGAGCUGGAUUUCAGACCCCUGUUUCUACAGGAACUCUAAACAAGCCCAGACACUCGGCUGGGAAGUGAGAGACUCAAAACAACGUGAGAAGUAGAAAGCGGGCAAGUUUGUUGGGGCCAUAUGUAACUUCAUGAAUAUCACUGUUUCAAGGACUAAGUUAUAAGUUUUACCCUUUUCAGAUAAGGAAAACAGAGUGUGAGUGGGGUUAGAAAGAGGAAAAACAGCAAGCCAAGUUGAAUCACUCAUCCUGAGAGGCAUUCAAAUACAGAGUUAUGGAGAAAGCGACUUUCCUCCACAAGGGUAAACCCCUCAACAGCAGCUGGUAAACCUCAGUCCACAGCGCAGAGUCAACCGUCAGCCAACUCAUAGCUGAAGCAGGGACACUGUGCAGCUCUUGGAGCUUGUUCUUAGUAUGUGUUCAGAGGGCUAAUACUCUGUCAAGCAGGGCGGAUGAUAGCCAGAGCAAACAGCCACGGUCCCCACGGUGGAAAAUAACGUUGCCAGAAAAUUCCGCACAUCUGGAAAGAACAGCAAUGAACAGGAACUUGUGCAUUCGUGCUAGGCUCCUACUGGGCCCGCUUCGUUUCAUUUCCUCCAUUUUUAUGACACUUUCCCAUGCUGCUACUCCAGACAUUCCAUCAAACACCUCGCCACGAACAAAUUGAAAGGGAAGGAAAUCUAAAGAAAGUCUGACUGAAUUUCUGAGUGUCUCAUCACUAGAAUGACCAGGAAAACCUGCCAGGAGUGUAGAUUCAGGCCCCUAAUCCCACUUCUCUGCAGUCUCCUCUUGGUCUCUGUGUAUAAGCUCUCCUGCCUUUUUGCACCUCUAAUCCAUUGUCAGACAAACUGGCCUACUUGUGUUUGCCUCUGAGAGCCUGUCCACUUCCUCACGUUAGGAGAAAGAACACAAAGAAUCCUAGCUUUGAUUCAGUUUUCCAUACUUCAGCCAUCAGUCUACCAUCAAGCACAUUUUUUACUGGGCAAAUGAAAAGUCAUUGCUUUCAAUUUUUUUUUUUUUUUUUUAGACUGAAUCUCACCUGUCACCCAGGCUGGAGUGCAGUGGCACAAUCUCGGCUCACUGCAACCUCUGCCUCCCAGGUUCUAGCAAUUCUCCUGCCUCAGCCUCCCAAGUGGCUGGGAUUGCAGGUGCCCACCACCAUGUCCAGCUAAUUUUUUUGUAUUUUGAGUAGAGACGGGGUUUCACCAUGUUGACUAGGCUGGUUUUAAACUCCUGACCUCAAAUGAUCCACCCACCUCAGCCUCCCAAAGUACUAGGAUAAUAGGUGUGAGCCACAGCACCCCGCCAAUAUUUUUGUUUCUAAUAAAACAAGAACUAGUAGUGCACUCCGUCUAGAGCAAGAUAGUGUGGUGGGGACAGGGAGCAAGUAGGUAGGGGAUAAAUAGGUCAAGAACUGAAUUCACAAUUGAGGCUUUAAGCUUGAUAAGAAAUAAAGCAAGUUUGAAUCA